rnacentral:rRNA from 1 species
UACGGAGGGUGCAAGCGUUAUCCGGAUUCACUGGGUUUAAAGGGUGCGUCGGCGGGUGUGUAAGUCCGUGGUGAAAUCUCCGAGCUUAACUCGGAAACUGCCAUGGGUACUGCAUGUCUUGAAUGUUGUGGAGGUGAGCGGAAUAUGUCAUGUAGCGGUGAAAUGCUUAGAUAUGACAUAGAACACCAAUUGCGAAGGCAGCUCACUACACAAAUAUUGACGCUGAGGCACGAAAGCGUGGGGAUCAAACAGG